rnacentral:tRNA from 1 species
ACCUGGCCAGCUCAGUCGGUGGAGCAUGAGACUCUUGAUCUUGAGUUGUGAGUUCAAGCCCCAUACUGGGUG